CUGUGGGAUCGUGAAAACAUACCUAGAAUCAUUUCAGUCAUGCAGGACAAACAAGCUUUCUUUCUGGAUGUGAAUCAAGUUUCAGCUUGUCGACCUCUGAGGGAAACCACAGAACCCAAGAACCACGAAGGAGAGAACCGGGUAAUUUCCCAGGCGCUCCUCGUAGAAGAGGGAGAGGUACUGACCGGGCACGGCGGCGGGCGUCGUCACCUCCUGGAAGGCCCCAGUGUCCAGCACCAGGUCCAGCCUUCGGCACUGGUCCACAGGAGCGUUCCAUAUGGCCACGAAGGGGUGGUCUGGGAUCAGCGGGGGGGCGGUAGGAGGCAAAGUGUGAAUGAUACUAAUAGACAUGACGAUUGUGAGCCAAAACAGGAAGAACAGGGCCAUGAUGGCGGCACCGGACGAUAGAGGUCUGUGUGAGAAGAUGUCGAAGGAGCAUUUGAACGUGUGGGUCGUAAUGCAAAUCCGUUUGUUUUAACACACCAGGCUAAAUUUAACCAGUUGAUCAAGUACAGCAUAGUUGAAAUCGUGCUUUCUGUCAGUUUCUUAUACAAAUUAUGUUGAAUCAUUCUACUAUUGCACCAGUAUAAACUAAAAGCUACAGUUUGUUAUCUAGUAUUUACAUCUGUCUGCUUCUCCUCCUCCUUUCUAGCCUCAUUAGAUGUUAUUUGUGGUACCAGCGUAUCAGUUCCUACCUGGAGCCUCCAGUCACCAGCCGAGUCCUUCAGCUUCUAAAGGUCUCAGCCUCUAUUUAUGCUGUUUCACAUGUGGGAGGAAACGGCUGCAGUAUCUGAUCAGUGAGCUGACUUCUGGCCCGGUCCUGUUUAGUCACUGAUGGUGGAGCGCGUCCUCUAGUGCGCACUUACAUACAGUAGCUUUAGACUGAAUGGUCAUUGAUGAUGUUCACAUUUAGAAAAACAUCAAUUCAUCUGCGAGAGAAAUCUUCAUAGAAAGAAACAGAAAUCACAGGUAAAAACAAAAGUAACCUGUGUCUGACUUGACUCAAAAUGAAUGAAGCACAUUGACUGUAUGUUGUUGAUAGUUUAUGUUGGGUGGCUCUUACUUGACCGUGUGUAUUAUUGUCCAGUAAAUAUACAUGACGUGGCCCUGCAAUAGACGGGUGACCUGUUCAGGACCUGCUUCUCACCCUCACAAAGCUGGAAUGAGCUCCAGCCCCGAACGGGAAAAGCGGUAGAAAAAGGAUGGAUGAAUGUACAUAGUGUUUCAUGCUCAUUGGCUUCCAGAGGUAUUGUGUGUGUGUGGGGGGGGUGCAGUGUUCUAUUAUCAUCGUUGUUUCUGAUGAGACUUUGUUGAGAAAGAUGAUUUACUUCUCUUUUCCAGGUCACUCGUGAUAUCGAUCAGUUAUGAAACCACGUGUUUGAGAGCUUGGUCAAAAACUACUCAGACUCCGCUUCACUUAGUCUUUAUUGGCAGUGCACUUACGUCCAGCUGACAUUUUCAACAUGUUGUAUAGUUAAUGUUUCGUUUUUAGCUUGUAGUUUUAUUAGAACAAGUAAAACACAGUAACUUAACUUUGCAGUGAUGACGGCUGCAAAUGUCAUCGUGACACUGUGUGUGGCAUAUGACGAACAAAGAAUUAUUAUGAUAAUUCAGGUUAAACCAAGGUCAGCCCUUUUAUUGUGAAAGACCAGGAAAUGCAACCUGCAGAUGUUCCAUGUCAUUUGUGACGGUCCUCAGUUCAGAGACAAAUGACCACGUUGAAUGUUGUUCUUCCAAAGUUUGCCAGAUCCACGCAGGUCGAACACAGGCCUUUAUGAGCAGGUUGCAUUUGUGCCCUGUUUAUGUGUAUGUGACUGCAUGAACCUGAGUAAAAGAACAUGUUCCAUCCUCAUCAGCUGACUGAUCGUGGUCUUCUCCUUGAUUACAGGCUGACAGACACCUACCCUGGAUGAGGUCAGGUUCAGGUCCCCCCAGAUGACGAACCCUGCAGCUCCCAGAGCAGCGCUCUCCCGAUGGUGUGGAUCAAAUCCUUCUGCAGGAAACACGUCGCAUCAGAAGGUUUGUUACAGUCACACGUUAAAAACACUGACACAGUAUUUCUUUAUCUUUAAAACGGCAUGGCAAGUGUUUUCCUGAAUCUCCACUAGGGGGCAGCAGCGGUUCAACUCUGAAAAUGACCGUGAUUAACAUCAAUGAGACCAAACAAGUUUUGUGAAUGGAGCGGAUUUCAUUUUGUAUCAAGUUUAGUUGUAUGUACUUCAUUAUUUGAAGCCUCUCUCUCUACUAUACACCCAACCUCCCCACAGACAAAGGCACACACGCACUGACCCUGUGGGCCAGGUAAAAAGCUUAUGUCAUAAAAAAACACAGUCUAAGUAAUUUCCGCACUGUGGAACUAUUGAAGGUUUUUUUUAUCUUAAAGUAGCAACGACUGAUUUAACCAUCACCAAACCGUGGGUGUUUCCACGUGGUCCUUUGUCUGUGUGGCCCAGGGAGCUGGUGACCUGUUCAGGGUGUAACCUGCUUUCCGGCCUCGGCCUGCAGUUUUCGGGUCCAGCACCAGCGCUACCCCGCACGGGAUUCAGCGGUAGAAGAUGGAUGGAUGAUUUGACCGAGCAAACGCGAACAGCGGCUCAUCGAUGGGAUGGACCGGCUUCUGUGAUGAGAUUUCUACCAGUUUGUAGGAAAGGACAAUAACGGAAAGGAAGCAAGAGCGUGUGUCUGCGAGGGCGGAGGAGGAAGGAAUCAGCUGGUUGCGCACACGGGCUGAAAGACUUCAUAGAGAAGCGAACCCAGCACUUAGCGUUGCUGUGAGUCUGUGCCUGCAGUAAAACCUCACGGCUCCUAUGUGCAACCCUCUCAUAAACGCUGUUCUUAUGGACGUUCACAUAAAAUCUGAGAGGAUUUUAUUGAAUAUAAAUAAAUACAUUGUAUUACUUUUUUUCUAUGGCGCGUCAGAACGUCAGGACUCAGCAGAUCAACAAGGCAUUAGUGCAGCAGCUUGUUUGUUUUUUCAUAUGCUUAUUAUGCACAUUAAAUGUUAACGGUUUUUACUGAAUAAAAACGAAAGUAACUCCUC